UCUGCUGCUCUGCGUUGCCGGCAAUUCCAGAGGCAGGCUUGCUUCCCUUGCAGGAACCAGUGGGCAUGCGGCCUGUUUUGACCCAGGCUAACUUUCUGUGUGUCCUUCUGGCUGUCUCUAUCCUGUUUCCCUCUCUACCCUCUUGCUCUGUCUCCCUGCCCAACAGGUUUAAGCUAGUCUGGGGAAGAACUAUAAAUCCUCUGGAGUAUAGCCCUGGCUUCCUGGCCAGGGACUCUAUCUGCCAGUCAACCCAGCUUCCUAAAGACACCUCAGCAAGCUGGAUAGUAUCUGUGGAGACAAGCUCAGCUGGGCGUCACUGCUCGGCUGGCUGACGAGCUCAGGAGAAACAAUAAAUUGCUGUUUUUCAUCAGGUUUUGAGGUGAACUCACUGGGCUAAUGGCACACAGAUGUCCACGAGGACACAACACUAAGAACCAAACAAACAUGGAUGACGAAAGCAGCAGCAUCAGAACACAGGCAGCUCCGAGAAGACUUGACUUGUGAGCAGCAUCUGAUAUCCGGAGUUAUCACACUCUAAAAAUUCCAAAUGUCUGGGUUUUGUAAAAUUUGCUUUUAUUUAUGUGUGUGUGCAUGCACACGAUGGUAUGUGUGUAGAUACUAGUGGAGGCCAGAAGUGAACGUUGGAUCUCCUGGAGGGUGUUACAGGCAGUGGAAGCAGCCAAGAAGCAGUCAAGUGAAUGCCGCCUGAUCUGUGACGCGUCCCAAAGUCCCUGUACUGAGACACUCAGCACACAGGUGCCGCCUCAGUGAGUUACUUUAAAUUCAUCCAAAGUCUGUUACUUCAUCUUUAGAUGGAUUUUGUUUUUAAUGACUGGUUUUCCUGUCAGCGAGUCGUUUCCCCACCCUGUCCCAUUUCUUGUCCUAUCUUGAUGCUGUAUCCAUUGGGCAGGAAGUAUUCAGGAAUUCCACUGUCCUCGUGAAAUCCGGCUCAAUCACAAACUCAGAAAAUUCAUGGCAUUCACCCUAGAAUUUGAGGGCCAAAGAUCAAGAUUAUUGAAGUAACAGCUGCUCCCACGGGUUGUUUGUGCUUUCUGGAUAAUAACUUUUCACUUCUCUUUUAAGGCAUUGCUUUAGAAGCAGAGAUUUGAAAUUUUCACAUGAUUCACUGAUGACAAAACACAUCAUUUAAGCUGCGGGCUUGGAGAAGCUGUAGUAAGGCCAGUGUUAAAGACUCAAGACUGUAAGACAGUUUAGAAGAGGCUUCCACCUGCAGCCAAAUGUUCUGAAGCAGAAUUCCAGAGCUGUUAGCAAUAUUAUUUAGCACAUAGAUAACUCUUUGUGGACAGUAACCAUUAAUCAAUGGCAUCCUCCAUUUUGGAUAAUGCUUUAAGAUUUCUGGAGAGGUGAAAGGGGUAUUCAAGCUCACAGCCCGAGUUUUUUCUUCAGUCAGAUUGAUGCAUGCAGGUUUUCUGAGUCAAUCCCUAUCACAUUCCGUAAAGACAGGACCCGAUUUUUGUGCCAAUUUUUUUUUUUAUGCAACAACUUGAAUACACAAUGUCUUUUAAGCUCUGCUUGCAAUCCUCAGGUUGUUUACAGAAGACCUUGUGGAAAGGAGUCUCAAAUCAUAGGCUGCGUUCCUCGCACACACCUCCAGUCUGUGGAAUCUGUGGUGGAUUGCCAAACACCUCUGCGUCUCAUUUUCUUCGUUUAAGUAUAGAAUAGACCUCUGAUUUUCAACUGAUGGAAAUGUUGAGAGUUAACUUAAUAAUGUGUAGAUAAUCACAGCUACAAAUUGAUCAUCUUUUGAAAAAACCCUUAUAUGCCAAUAUUCAAAUCAGCAGCAGUUUAUUCUUAAUGUAAUUUGUAAUUACAUUAAUAUAAAAUGAAUUCUUUUCAUUUACUUACUCAAAGACACUGUAUUGAAUUCCUGCAAGGCAAAUUGCUUCAUGAAGUGAUAAUCAAAAAUAGUUCAUUAUCGUGUCUGCACGGAAGCUAGCUUUCAAGAAACUAAUCAGCAAAUCCAUCCACAACACAAGGUACAGAUUCUAGUGGGAUGAUGUUCAUGGAGAAAAACAAAGGAAGAUGCAGAGAGAGGAGGCUUGCUCCUCUCUAAAGAACACCCAGUAUGAUGUUCAUACAAAUGCACACACACACGAUCUUUCAAAUUGAUGGCAUUUAGCAGAGCAACAACAAUGGAAGCUAGGUUUAAGGUGUAUUUUGGCAUGGUUGAAAUGCGUAGUAAGACACUGAUUUUAAGGCCAGAAAGGGAGUUUAGGUUGGUGUUGUCUGCAUGGUGAGCUAUUAAAAAUCAUGAUGGAGGAUGUCAUUUCCUAGAGAAGUGUAGAAAGAGGAGGAUGCAGGAAAGCCCAGAGGUACUACAGUCCAUCAUGGGCAAUAGAAAGAAAGAGGGAAGAAGGCCAAAAAGAACGAUGAUGGCUCUGGAAAACUGGGCAAAGCAGUAUUGCAAGGAGGAAGAAGGGGAACCCCAUGUGCCAUGCCUCUGGGCAGUAGGGUGAGGGCAACAUCUGACCAUGCCAAUGGCAAGGUCAAUCUGUGCCUGUGGGAUUAGUUGAGUGGUCUUCCCAAGGCCGGGUCCUCCUGUUUACACAAGCCGACCCCUGGUUUCCGAGGCUGAAGUCAGCAGUUUAGUGGAGCCAGAUGAAACCAGUUGGAACCGAAUGGAGCCAGCUGGAACUGGAUGGAGCCACUUGGAGGUGCAUAAAGCCUCUCUGUGGCUCACCUGCAUGUCUGUCCCCAGGUACCAACACACAGGGAGAACAGGAAAAUAGAUGUAAACUUUGUCUUUUCUACUUCGGAUCUGUCACCCAUUCUGCAACCAGAAUUAAUUCCUCAAAACAAAAACCUAACAAUGUUUUCCCAGUUUAAAAAAAAAAAAAAACCUUCUGUUCUUACUUCUUUCAUGAUAAGAAUGCAAAGCCUUACCCUAGUCUCCAAAACAAUGUCCUGCAAACCCAGACACAAGGCGUUGCCUCAGCUUCUGACACUUCAGGCCUGGGGACUGUAUUCCAUUCCCUGAGAGGAUACCUCAGAACUGCAACUUCACAAUCUUGUGUGAGUCCAGGGCAAUAAGGGUCUCCAUUGACAAUGACGAUCUCUGUGACUAAGUGUAGAAAUCAGGUAUUUGCUGCUGAUAAAACAACCACAAAUAUUCUUCAAAUAAUAGUUAGGUAUGUAAUUAUUUUAUCACUUUUUAAAAUUUUAAUUAAAAUAUGAUUAAAUUAUUUACCCCCUCCACAUCCUCUUCUUCUAUGCUGCUCUCCCUAUUCCAUGACUUUCUUUUUUAUUAUUAUUAUUGAUUUUCAUUGAGCGCUAUAUUUUUCUUGGCUCCCCUCCCUUUUUCUCCCCUCCCCCUCAACCCUCUCUCAAGGUCCCCAUGCUCCCA